rnacentral:rRNA from 1 species
GACGAACGCUGGCGGCGUGCUUAACACAUGCAAGUCGAGCGGUAAGGCCCUUUCGGGGGUACACGAGCGGCGAACGGGUGAGUAACACGUGGGUGACCUGCCCUCAGCUCUGGGAUAAGCCUGGGAAACUGGGUCUAAUACCGGAUAUGACUCCACGGCGCAUGUUGUGGGGUGAAAGCCUUGUGUGGCUAGAGAUGGGCCCGCGGCCUAUCAGCUUGUUGGUGGGGUGAUGGCCUACCAAGGCGACGACGGGUAGCCGGCCUGAGAGGGCGACCGGCCACACUGGGACUGAGACACGGCCCAGACUCCUACGGGAGGCAGCAGUGGGGAAUCUUGCGCAAUGGGCGAAAGCCUGACGCAGCGACGCCGCGUGAGGGAUGACGGCCU